rnacentral:tRNA from 1 species
GCGGACAUGGUAUAAAGGUGUGCUGCAGCAUUCCAAGCUGCUGAUGUGGGUUCGAGUCCCGCUGUUCGCU